UGGGUCACAGUUAUUUGGUAGUGCGUUGAAUUUAUGACUAGAAGCUUGAUGAGACACUUUAGCAAUAAUAAAUUAUUUACUUCAACUUUAUUAGGGAUUCUUUUAAGAAUGGUUGGUUUUACAAAAAGAGUAGCUUACAAAAAAUUAACAAAAACAAAAGCACUAAGAUAAGAUUUAAAACAAAUUAAAAGCUUACAAAUAUAUAAGCAUCAAGAUGAUAGAAUGAAUUUAAUGAGUUCAUAGCUUAGUAUAAUUGAUUGGAAAAGCACUUAGAUCUAACAUCUCAAUCAUUCAUGUCUGAUCUAACAACUGAUAUAUAAGUUCUUAACUUAGAUCCUCAUAAGAAGCUAUUACUUAUGAUAUCCUUCCAUCGACUCUUUUAUAAAAUUUCUGUUUCUUUGCUAGAAACAGAGAGUGUAACACCCCACUCCCUUUAAAGAAGAGCGGGGUGGUGUAUAUGCAUUCUCAUGUUGAUGUUUCAAAGUAGCAUUCUUUGAAAAAAAAAAAAAUUGAAAGUAGCAUGAUUCAUAAACAUUUGUUGGGAAUUCGGAUAGGGUGGCUGGAAACAGGCUUGUGGGGGGCUUUUCUUAUAACAGUUAUGUGCAUAAUGGGCGAGAGUUUUGGAACUUAAGAAUAAGCUGAAGCAUGUUCGUGACAAAAUUUUCUCGGAAUCUCAGAAUGUCCUUGUGUGUGAGUGUCAGAUUUUUGGAUUCGUUGAUUGCUAAUUAGUGUGUAGACUGAAGGUUGUGAUCAGGGAAAUUUUUUAUUUAUUUGCAAAUUGGAUAUUUGGGAACCAUUGGAGCCAAUUUAUGCAUUCCUCUACUGUUAGACUUUCUUCCUUUGUGAAUGGCUCCCCUUCCUGGUUUGUUUGGUUGCUUAAGGGGUCUCUGGCAAGGGGUUCAUCCUCUGUCUUUGUUUAUAUUAUUAUGAUGGUGCUUAGCAGAUUGAUCUGUAAGGGUUUGGUGUGGUAUCUAAUGGUGCAAGGUCUUUUCAGAUUCACAUCUGUUAUUUGUAGAGUAUCUAAUUAAUUUUGGUGGUGCUGAUUGGGGCAAAUGAGUUAUUUGUGGUGUCUUAUUUUAUGAUUUGAAGCGAUGUCGGGUCUAAGGGUCAAUAUGGAUAAGAGUAAAUUUUUUUCCAGACUCCAGUACGCUCUCUCUCUCUCUGUUGUGGAACAUAUUACUGAUUGCUGCUGAUUGGGAUUGCAGAAUUAGUUCUCUGCCUUUGACAUAUUUGGGUUUGGUUUUGGGGUCUUAUUUUGUUCGGAAGUCUUUGAGGAAUUCAAUUAUUUUGGAAAGGGUAGAGAAGCAUCUGGCAGGAAAAAAAGCAUCACUACGCAUCUAAGGGGAACCUUAGUGUUUCAUCUAGCUUAUCUAUGUACAAUGUCUCUGUUCUGGUUCCUGUUUCUUAUACAUGCUAAUCAUUGGAAAAUUUUCCUAGAGGCUUCCUUCAGGCUGCGUUACGCAAUGAAUACACCAUUUGGUUGAUCGGGAUUAGAGGAAUCGGUAAUGGAAGUGUGUGGUGGCUUGUAAAUGUGGAGAUUUUUUGGCACAAGGGAAGUGACGACGACUCAUGGCGUAGGUUUGAGGAGAAGUGUCUGGAAGGAUUUGGGGAUUUUGUCACAGAAUGUUUGGCUAGUGUACAAGGGAAGUGUUGUUGACUCAGGGUUGCAGCUUGUUUGAACAGGAUGUUUUGUAUGGCUCUGUGGCUUUGGGUACUCAGGCUGGAAAGAUACAUUUCUUUUACGAUUUACCAUAGCAGUGGAUGAAAUUGCUUUGGUAGGGGACCCUUCAGUUAAUUUGGGGGUGUGGUUCAGUUGAAUCUUGCUUUUUCUAGAAAGUGUAAUGAUUGGGAGAUUGAAAUUGUUGAAAGUUUCUAGAAAGCCUUACAUUAUUUUAGAGUUGGCAGUGAGUGUGGGAGCUCUGGAAUGUAGUUGAUGCAAGCAUUUGAGGUGCGCUCUUUCUGUUGGGCUUUGUUGGAUAAAAUUCAUUCUUAUUUUGCAUGGAAGCAGUUCUAGUAUGCAGAUCCUCUGACAGUGGUGUUUUCUCAUGGACAACUUGUUCAAGGAGGAUCUUAACAUUGACAACCUGAACAAAAGCAGAUUCAGAUUGGUGUGGCCAGCAGGGCGGAAGCUGUUAGUCAUUUCCUCCGUUAUACAUUGACAUGGAAAUUUUGGGUUCCAUCUUCUAAUUAUCUGGGAUUAGAAUUGAUCCUUGCAGCUUAUAUUUCAAAUUUGUAUGGGCAGUGUUAUGGGAGAUUUGUCAGGCAGGAGAAUCAA